CUUUCACAUUCGGGAAGCGUCGGGAUUAGGUGAAAGUCGCCGGACGGCCACAUGCAGCCCUGGACCCUGAACCCCGGCGUGCGUGGGCCGUGGGCCCUCGGGGAGAGGUUCCGUGCAGUCGGGGACUCCGGGGAAGCCUGUUUCGCCGUCUGUGUCAUGUGGCCAUCUUGAGUCUACUCUGUCGCUCUUGUGCCAUAGCACCCCGAGAACCGUCAGUUUGAGCCAGAUGGAAGCUGAGCUGAACAUAUUACGAUGGAUGAUGGAAACAUAAGACUAUCAAGAAAUCCAAAGUGGUAAUGGGCGAAGUUUAUUCAGCAUCCGGCAAUGGACUUAUCGUAGCUGGGGAAACAGGUGUUCCGAAUAAUAUCCUGGACGUUAUCAGGACACCUAUUUUAAAUAUAGGCCUGAAUUUUUUAAAGUAAUAUUUAAGGUGGUCCGUGAUAAUUAAAUAAAAUGCUUAAUUCAUGUGGC
rnacentral:lncRNA from 1 species